UAGGUUAGGUUGGCAAUUGGCAUUAUUGCAAUCAUAAAAAGUGCCCUCGAUUCUGUAUAAAAUUGAGAAAAAAAUUAACUGAAUUCCUUAUUAUAUGUUCUAUUAAAAAAAUGGAACUUUAGGAAGCAACAAACUAUCAAACGCCAUAAGUACUGUACGAAACAAUGGCGAGGUUAGGUUAGGUCGGCAAUUGGCGGUAGAUUCUAUUGACUCCAUUCAACGUGUAGACAUUACAUUGUAGAGAAGGGGAUACAAUUGUAAAAGAAGAAAAUAAGCGUAGGAGAUAGCAACUAGCCUCACGAUCUCAAGGGAACCCAACAAACCGUUCCCACCGUCGAUGAUACAACCCAUUUUUAUCGAGUCACCUAUCGGUAAACGUUACGCAAUACCAUUAACCGAUAGUUCUACGAUCCAAAUCCGUCGGCCACGUACAAUCGUAUACAUUUGAAAUGAAAUUGUGUCACUAAAUAGCUGUCCUCCUUCUCUAUUCUCUAGACACGGUGUAUCGUGUCUCAUAAAAAUGUACGACACCCUGUAACCACCGACUGAAUUACUGGAAUAUUUGUGGUUUCGUACCGGCGUUCAAAUUGAAUUUAAUUACAAAUGUACACUGGUGGAAUUAAUUCUGGACACUUUGAAUAAAUUAAAACCCCCCUUUCAAUUUUUUUUCCAUAUUCUACUCUAUAGUUUGGUCCAGUUGCACCAAGGAUCGAUUUACAUUUUCGAUUCGAUCAUGGCGAUUGACUUGUUGGCGGCAGGUUCUCGCAUAGUCUUUCAGUUGCGUAGUGAAAAUGUCAUAACAGCGACCUAACAGUAAUCACGUCGAAAAGGGAAGGGAAAAGGAAGGAAGCGAACGCGUCGAUGGUUUCUCAUCUAUUCGAGAUGGAAAUCUCCCGGAGACGGUCACCAACGAGAAUAACCAUCCGUGGUACGAAAUAAUCGUGGAAACGUGUUUCGUAAAAAUCGAAUACCGUUUACAACCACGCAAAAGACGAACCGAGAAGUAGAAAGUGAAGUAUCCUAUCUACGCUUUACAUUUACACCGUUAACGAUCGUUCAUCACGAGCUGAGGAUAGCGGGAUUUUAGCUAUCUACAGUUUCACUGAAACGUAACGACGGAAAUGGAAAUUCUUAUCGCGGGACGUUCGAAGCUGGAGGUUAAAUUAUGCUAAUUUCCGUCGAUUCCACGCGAAAAUCGAUCUAUCGAUCGACGAAGACGUUUGGAAUUCGAUUGCGCGUCGAUGAGAAGAGGGAGGUUAGGACGGCAUCGUAAGCUGAAGAAUAAAAAGUGCGCGACAACACGGCAUAUUUACGAGGAAACGACAAGCGCGAGUAUAAUUGCUUAUGGAUGCGGGCACGCCCAGCGGAGAAAAAUUCAUCUAGGGAAUGCGCUGAAGUAACCACGUCCUUGACCGUACUUGACAGAAACGGCAUUCAACCUUACCAUGCCUUCUUCUUCGUCGUCCAACAUGGACAUUCUCCCAGAAGAACCGACAUUAGAUACAGACGUUCAGCUUCGAGCUUUUUCUUCGUCGUUCGGUGAAUGAAUUUUUGACGUAGUAAGGUUAGGUUUUCUGGUGUUUAAUCUUUCUUACGGUGUGUCGGAUACGCGUUUCGAAAUUAUAAUCGUGGGACCAUUUAUUUAAGCGGCUUUGUCGCGUCAUUAAAAUACCUGACAUUUUUUACACUUCGAAUGCUCGUAAAUUAAACAUUAUAGUAGGCAUUCGUUUCGUAAAUGCACGAGAUGUAACGAGGUUCACGUAAUGCAAGAAAAUUAUGCAGGGGAUAUUAUAGGCGAUUUGAAGGCACGUACAAUGGAAACAGAUCCGCGGCUGCAAAGUCUAAAUGACACGGGAAAGGGACGGAAAGUCUGGCAUUCUCGCGUUUUCUCGGCUGCAUAGUUGCGCGCCUGGUAAUCGCAUCUCUCCUUGCAUACCUGCAACGAAUUCUCCAAGGUGCCGCCUCGAUAAAGCCCGUUUCCAUAAAAGCGACGCAACUAAAUUAUCGCUAUCUGUCAAAAAUUUAUGAAUCUUUUCACGCGUCUCUCAUAAUUUUUCUAUUUUAUUCAAAUAAAAAAUUUUUUAUGUAUCAAUUAUUUCUCAUGAAUUUACAUUGAGAAGGUUUAAAAAGAUCCAGUUAUAUGUAUUAUAUACGUAACACGUGUUGCUACGUUCUCGCGCGAAAAAGGGGCAGAAUUUAUGCGAUCGUUAAUGUAAUCGUUGCACGGUGCAAGGUGAUUUACAAGGAACAUCGUAAAACCUCAUCUUCCCGAUUUACAAUAAUACGAGCAACAAACACUUUGCUCGCAUUCCCUUCAUUCGCCAGUGCGUGGAACAUCUCUUGGAUCGCGAAGGUUGUUCACCCUUACAGAGCGAUUAAAAUCAUUCCUAAUCUUGUGAGGCGCAAUAUUCCUUUCCAAAUAUAAAUUUAAGGAAAAUUAACGGUUCUUUCAAAAUAUUUUUUAAAUAAUAAAUAAUUGCAAUUUACGAGUGACUGAAAAUUACUAUUAAUUUUUUCUAGUAGUCUAUAGGCUGCACCUUGCCUAAGAGACAUCUAGACCGACAAAGGGUUAAUUUAGCUUAAAUUAAAGGAGUGAAAAGUUCAUUCGAUCGGUCCAUUCGCUGCGAAACUUGUUCGCGAUCGACGGAUCAGUAGGCGUUUACCUUUCGCGUUCCCUUGCCCUACCCGGGAACAGGUAUUUUCUGAAAAGCAGCAACCUGUUACCCGUCGCGUUUCAACCCCUACGCUGCUACUUAAGAUUUGAGUUUCUUCAAAAUGGCGAUCUUCCAUUUAUUUCCACGUAAGUAUUAAUUCUUUAAACCUUAUAACUGCGUUUAGAUGCUCGAAAUUGAAACUGGAAAAUCUUAACUAUUAAAACGUGGCGAAUAGUCACCUGUUUCGUGGACUAUGAUCGUUAGAUUAACAAGAAUACAUAUGUGUUAUCGAAGAAACAAUUUCUAGAUAAGUUCGAGCAACUUGUACCAGUUUGCUAACUCGAACGCGAUUAUUUCUUAUCGAUAUAUUAUAAUGACUAAGUAGAUUUGUAAAAGGGUUUAGCAUUUUUAUGCUUGCGGAAGUGUGAUAAAAUUCCAACUUGAAAAAUCUAUUGUUUAUGAUAAUUAAAUGAGUAAAUUGUUUGUUGAAAUCUUACACGGUUAUAUUUGUAAGAUUAUUGCAUGUGGUACGAGAAUUUAGUACGAUACGUUGUAACGCGCAAUUUAGCAAAAAACGUACAGCAGCGUUUUAAUACGCAUGCACUUUGUACGCUAGGAUAUCGAAGGUCGUUCGAUGCAAUAUCGAUGGACGCGGAGUACGGUAAAUAUUUGCAAUUUAUGUCACGGCAAUCAUAAUGGAGGAGUACGUAGGUAUGUAUUUCGUAGGCGUGAAUUACAGGUGAUUGCCGUACAUUCCCGUAGCUGUCGGCGUCUUCUUUCUCGAUGGCCCGUAUCGUUAAAAAAGUUGAACGGUAUAAUUGUAAAUCUAGGCGAAAUAAAACUGCAUGUGUACCAAAAGAAUAAGUACCGUAAAAACUUGCGAAAUAGCCCUCGUAGUUGCACCCAAGUAUCGACUAUCUCGUCGAUAAGAGGUUCCACGUUGUAUGUACAUACAAGUGUAAUUUAACGCGGUACGAUUUUAUUCGAGACAAUCGCGUUUAAAACUCGAAGGCGUUAUCGAUUAACGAUAAACAACGCGGUGUUUGCUUGGAUCGGAGAAUGUCCAUUAGAAAUGUCAUGGGCGGGGAACCUCCUUACUAAACGACGAAGAAUAACACAUUCACUAUUCUUUCUCAUUUCCAUAAUCAACGAUCCCACUACUUUUGCACGCAUUAAAUUCCUUCGACGCGUUUUCUAUAUUUAGAUACGCUACCUGCGUACUAUUAAAAAAGUUAGGUUAAGUUGUCAAAACAGUUAAAGGGAACUGAUUAAAGAAUGAGGAAAUGAAUUUCAAAACAACCUGAUGAAUGAAUCAUUGUAAUAGUGAUAAGACGAUAAAAAUGUUCACUACGAUUUACAAUUGAUCGUUCAAGUAUCUUUAUGAGAUGUAUUAGGCGCGCUUGAUGUUCGUAUAGUUGAUGGGGAAAAAAAUCCCUUCGAAAUAGAAAUCCCCUCUUAUGGAACGACAUUGUUUAUCAUAUAAAGAUUUAUAUUGCAACUAUAAGUAAGGACAACUUUUAUUGAGAUUUGUCACCGAGUACUCCGAACGUGUAUCUUUUUUUUUAUACAGAAUGAAAUAAAUACGAACAUGUGUCAAUUACAAAGUAUUCGAGUAGACAUUAAUACCGGGAUUUUUCCGACUGAAAUCCGUUACCAUAACUAGGUACAGUCUACAUAUAUACAUAGAUAUGCUCGUGCGUUGAUUAUUAUCGGAGACGUAGAGCAACAGGUGUGACCACGACAGAUUUUCUGCGGGGAGAAAUCCACGUCGGUGUACUCGGUACAAUGACUCCAGUCCAGAAAUCAUUUCCAUAAAUACCUUG